UGACAGUACUCCUACGGGGAGGCAGCAGUGGGGAAUAUUGCACAAUGGGCGCAAGCCUGAUGCAGCCAUGCCGCGUGUGUGAAGAAGGCCUUCGGGUUGUAAAGCACUUUCAGUCGUGAGGAAGGUAGUGUAGUUAAUAGCUGCAUUAUUUGACGUUAGCGACAGAAGAAGCACCGGCUAACUCCGUGCCAGCAGCCGCGGUAAUACGGAGGGUGCGAGCGUUAAUCGGAAUUACUGGGCGUAAAGCGCAUGCAGGUGGUUUGUUAAGUCAGAUGUGAAAGCCCGGGGCUCAACCUCGGAAUAGCAUUUGAAACUGGCAGACUAGAGUACUGUAGAGGGGGGUAGGAAUUUCAGGUGUAGCGGUGAAAUGCGUAGAGAUCUGAAGGAAUACCGGUGGCGAAGGCGGCCCCCUGGACAGAUACUGACACUCAGAUGCGAAAGCGUGGGGAGCAAACAGGAUUAGAUACCCUGGUAG
rnacentral:rRNA from 1 species